AUACGGAGGAUGCAAGCGUUAUCCGGAUUUAUUGGGUUUAAAGGGUGCGUAGGCGGAUGAUUAAGCGUGAGGUGAAAUGCCACUGCUCAACAGUGGAACUGCCUCGCGAACUGGUUGUCUUGAAUGCUCCUGCCGUGGGAGGAAUGUGUGGUGUAGCGGUGAAAUGCAUAGAGAUCACACAGAACACCGAUUGCGAAGGCAUCUCACGAAGGGGUGAUUGACGCUGAGGCACGAAAGCGUGGGGAUCAAACAGGAUUAGAUACCCUGGUAGUCCACGCAGUAAACGAUGAUAACUAACCGCUGGGUCGUAGUGAUUCAGUGGCCAAGCGAAAGCGAUAAGUUAUCCCCCUGGGGAGUACGACCUCAAGGUUGAAACUCAAAUGAAUUAACGGGG
rnacentral:rRNA from 1 species